AACGCACCUUGCGCCUUUUGGUAUUCCGAAAGGCAUGCCUGUUUGAGUGUCAUGAAAUAUCAACCCCUCAGGUUUUUUGCUUGGAGGGUUGGACUUGGGUGUCUGCCGCUUUGGCUCACCUCAAAAGUGUUAGUGGACCUGCUUCCAUCAGCUUGACGUAAUAAGUUUCGUCAGGUCAAGGGUUGCAACCGCUCAUAACCCCCAUAUUUCUUUAGCUCUGACCUCAAAUCAGGUAGGACUACCCGCUGAACUUAA
rnacentral:misc_RNA from 1 species